AUUGAACGCUGGCGGCAGGCCUAACACAUGCAAGUCGAGCGAGCGGCGGACGGGUGAGUAAUGUAUGGGCAACUGCCCGAUUGAGGGGGAUAACUACUGGAAACGGUAGCUAAUACCGCAUACCGUCGGAUUAGCCCAUAUGGGGGUAGCUAGUAGGUGGGGUAACGGCUUACCUACGCGACGAUCCCAAGCUGGUCUGCGAGGAUGACCGGCCACACUGGAACUGAGACACGGUCCAGACUCCUACGGGAGGCAGCAGUGGGGAAUAUUGCACAAUGGGCGCAAGCCGGAUGCAGCAAUGCCGCGUGUGUGAAGAAGGCUUUGGGGUUGUAAAGCACUUUCAGCGGGGAGGCGUUACCCGCAGAAGAAGCACCGGCUAACUCCGUGCCAGCAGCCGCGGUAAUUC
rnacentral:rRNA from 1 species